rnacentral:snoRNA from 1 species
CCUGUCCCUAGCGACAUUGCAGGUGUGGCUGGUAUGUCACCUGUUCAUCAGUAGAUGACAGAAAGAGGCUAUAUCUGCUCUGUGUUCUGACUUGUUAACAUCUGAAUGAUUAGUAGCCAAACAUU